AGUGGCGGACGGGUGAGUAACGCGUAAGAAUCUAACUUCAGGACGGGGACAACAGUGGGAAACGACUGCUAAUACCCGAUGUGCCGCGAGGUGAAACCUAAUUGGCCUGAAGAAGAGCUUGCGUCUGAUUAGCUAGUUGGUGGGGUAAGAGCCUACCAAGGCGACGAUCAGUAGCUGGUCUGAGAGGAUGAGCAGCCACACUGGGACUGAGACACGGCCCAGACUCCUACGGGAGGCAGCAGUGGGGAAUUUUCCGCAAUGGGCGAAAGCCUGACGGAGCAACGCCGCGUGAGGGAGGAAGGUCUUUGGAUUGUAAACCUCUUUUCUCAAGGAAGAAGUUCUGACGGUACUUGAGGAAUCAGCCUCGGCUAACUCCGUGCCAGCAGCCGCGGUAAUACGGGGGAGGCAAGCGUUAUCCGGAAUUAUUGGGCGUAAAGCGUCCGCAGGUGGUCAGCCAAGUCUGCCGUCAAAUCAGGCUGCUUAACGACCUAAAGGCGGUGGAAACUGGCAGACUAGAGAGCAGUAGGGGUAGCAGGAAUUCCCAGUGUAGCGGUGAAAUGCGUAGAGAUUGGGAAGAACAUCGGUGGCGAAAGCGUGCUACUGGGCUGUAUCUGACACUCAGGGACGAAAGCUAGGGGAGCGAAAGGGACUAGAUACCCCUGUAGUCCUAGCCGUAAACGAUGGAUACUAGGCGUGGCUU
rnacentral:rRNA from 1 species